GGGAUGCACUUUGAGGUUGUAACUAAUGCUGCAUUAAGGUAUUAUUACGAUGAUAAUUAAUUUCGUUUGCUAAAUAAAUUCAUGACGAUGAUGUGGAUAAUGCAAAAAAGCUGAUAGAUUUAUCAAUCUCGACGGAGACAAAUGCUAAACCGAUGUAGAAUAAGUAUAAUUACUCUAUAGAUAUUUUAAAUAGGUUUUAGGAUGUAGGUAUCAAGUUAGCAACUUAUCUUCUCGUCUAAUGGGGCCUUCUUCUAUAACAGGUGCUUUGGAGUCUACAGCUCCUUGUUGUGUCCGCUUGCUCUUCUAAUUAUCAGUCUACUUUGUGGUUCAGUUGUCUGGGCAGUUCUCUGGACACAGUGUUGUUCGCUUAUUAUACUCAUGUGACCAACAAGAUUUUGCUCUCAACUAGACCGAAAAAACAAUAUUAUUUUGGUGAAAUGGGGUUUGAAUUGAGAAAUGUUUCAGGAGGAACAAUAAAACUAUCUGGCUGGUCAUGAUUUUAAUAGCAGCUCUUUAGGUGCUCGCUGUAGGAGUAUCAUCAAGAAUAUAUCAUGUGAAAUAAAACGGUGACCUCAGGAAGAAAUAAGAGAAGCAGUAGAUUUGAGGAUUUUUUGCUAUUGUUGACAGAAUGCUUACAGAAGCAGGACUGCGUUGAAUAUGGUUCUUAGUUCAUUCAUGGGAAACAAACUG
rnacentral:lncRNA from 1 species